rnacentral:tRNA from 3 species
GGGCCCAUCGUAUAACGGUUUAUUACAUUCGGCUGGCAGUCGAGAAAUUCGGGUUCAAUUCCCGAUGGGUCCA